rnacentral:rRNA from 1 species
GACAAUGGGGGCAACCCUGAUCCAGCAAUGCCGCGUGUGUGAAGAAGGUCUUCGGAUUGUAAAGCACUUUCACUAGGGAAGAUGAUGACGGUACCUAGAGAAGAAGCCCCGGCUAACUUCGUGCCAGCAGCCGCGGUAAUACGAAGGGGGCUAGCGUUGCUCGGAAUGACUGGGCGUAAAGGGCGCGUAGGCUGUUUAUACAGUCAGAUGUGAAAUCCCCGGGCUUAACCUGGGAACUGCAUUUGAGACGUAUAGACUAGAGUCCGAGAGAGGGUUGUGGAAUUCCCAGUGUAGAGGUGAAAUUCGUAGAUAUUGGGAAGAACACCGGUUGCGAAAGCGGCAACCUGGCUCGGAACUGACGCUGAGGCGCGAAAGCGUGGGGAGCGAACAGGAUUAGAUACCCUGGUAGUCCACGCUGUAAACGAUGUGUGCUGGAUGUUGGUUGAUUUAAUCAUUCAGUGUCGGAGCUAACGCGUUAAGCACACCGCCUGGGGAGUACGGUCGCAAGGUUGAAACUCAAAGGAAUUGAC